AGUAGAAGUUGGAUGCUUAACUGACCAAGCCACCCAGGCACCCUGAAUAUCAACAAUUUAAGAUGAAAAAUCGUUCCCUGCUGGGCCAUAGGGGAGCCUGAAGCAAAAGGAAAAGAUCUUGUUUCUCUAGAGAACCUGACUGAUAUGGUGGCUCUGCAUGAGGUGAGACAACGGGCAAGUAUGGAGGAUUUACUAGAAAAUACAGCCUGUCACAGGUUUAGGCCCAGCUUGUCUAGGCCUCUGCCCCCCUUACUGCAGAACUCACCGGCUGGCAUCCUCUGGGGAACCGGGCACAACACAGCCUGCACCACAGGAAAGUGUGACCAUGGACUUUUCUACUUAUAUCACAGAAGAUCUUCUCCUUAAAAGCACUCAAGAUGCCCAGGAUCUAUCUAUGUGGACCUUUUGCAAAAGAAAACUUUAAUAAUUGGAAAGAAUAAAGCAUCUAAAUGCUCAUAAGAUUUUGCUGUGAGAACUCUUUUUGCCCCCAAAUUAAUGAUAUCUUACUGUGUAAUUGCUUUCCUAAAAAAAGAGAUAUGCACAUUGAACCUUCUGAGACAGAGGUAAUUAGGUCUUAGCCUAACAGUCAUUUUACCCAGAGGGAAGUAAUAAAAAGGAGUAUUAAACUGUUCUCCCAGUAACAGCAAAAUCUUUGUUAAUCUAUCCCUAAAAAAUAGGAGAGAGGGGACACCUG